rnacentral:lncRNA from 1 species
GACCUGGCUUCCAGGCAGUGCAAGCUGGACAUAAGAGCUACUGCUUCUCCCUCCAGGGACCAAACAUCUCCUGCCGAAAAGCAAAGCCACAUGGAUAAAUGUCACAGUAAAUGAGAAGCCACAGGGCACAGCCAGAACUGCAGGUGCUGAUGUGUGAAGGAGCCCUCUGAUGUCACACCAGUUUUGCUGCCAGAAAAGCCUGAGCAAAGAUAAAUUGGAGAAACUGGUCUGCAGCCCAGCCACCCCAUGCCUGAUGGAGGGAUCUGCAUAACGACCAGAAAUCACUUCUCCUCCAUACAGGUAGCCUGAAUUGGGAGCUGAGAAGCUUAGGAGCAGCAGUAUGCAGCAAAGAAAAACAGGACUCACAACUUCAACCUGAAGAAGUCAUAGCACAGAGCCCUACCAAGAGCCCCCACUGCACUGAAAGGGAUUGUCAUGCCCAGCACAGAGGUUUCCUUAAUUAUAGAGCAAGGUGAAACUUCUUAUAAAAUGAGACAUAAGGGAUGCCAAUUCAAGGAAAAAUGAAUGGCAAAGCAAAAUACGACAAAAAUGGAAAAAGGGGA